UGGGGUGCUCGAGUGGCGAACGGGUGAGUAACACGUGAGUAACCUGCCCUUGACUUUUGGAUAACUUCAGGAAACUGGGGCUAAUACCGGAUAGGAGCUCCUGCUGCAUGGUGGGGGUUGGAAAGUUUCGGCGGUUGGGGAUGGACUCGCGGCUUAUCAGCUUGUUGGUGGGGUAGUGGCUUACCAAGGCUUUGACGGGUAGCCGGCCUGAGAGGGUGACCGGCCACAUUGGGACUGAGAUACGGCCCAG
rnacentral:rRNA from 1 species